rnacentral:rRNA from 1 species
GACGAACGCUGGCGGCGUGCUUAACACAUGCAAGUCGAACGGAAAGGCCCUGCUUUUGUGGGGUGCUCGAGUGGCGAACGGGUGAGUAACACGUGAGUAACCUGCCCUUGACUUUGGGAUAACUUCAGGAAACUGGGGCUAAUACCGGAUAGGAGCUCCUGCUGCAUGGUGGGGGUUGGAAAGUUUCGGCGGUUGGGGAUGGACUCGCGGCUUAUCAGCUUGUUGGUGGGGUAGUGGCUUACCAAGGCUUUGACGGGUAGCCGGCCUGAGAGGGUGACCGGCCACAUUGGGACUGAGAUACGGCCCAGACUCCUACGGGAGGCAGCAGUGGGGAAUAUUGCACAAUGGGCGGAAGCCUGAUGCAGCAUCGCCGCGUGCGGGAUGACGGCCUUCGGGUUGUAAACCGCUUUCGCCUGUGACGAAGCGUGAGUGACGGUAAUGGGUAAAGAAGCACCGGCUAACUACGUG